CAACAGAGUCAGAAUGUCCUUCAAUAUGAGGGCAAUCUAAAGAGUUUGCAUCAGGAGACUGAUAAACUUAGGUCUGUAAAUUGUAUUCUCCAGCUCUUAGGAGGACUCAGAGUUGCUGGAUAUGCUGCUCUUCAGUUGUGCUGGGAAUGGAUGAACCUCUUGGGUUUCUGGUGCAUGAACAAUCAGAUUAAGAGACAUUCAGAUUAAAAAGAAACUGAAAUUUUCUAUUCUUUGCAUUAGUAGACAAUGAGGGUUUUUUUGGAAGAAACUGACAGCAUGAAAAUCGCUCAUGUUUUAUAAGACAUUGUAGAAACACCGGUGUGUGAGCUGUAGAAAAGUGAGUGCUGUUCUGAAAAAGGCUUGUUCAUGGAAGUGAUGGAGCACUGAAAGGAAUAAAAAGGGGGAAAUGGUGCUCCUGGAUUACUAGAGCACUAUCAAAGCCCUGCACAGCACAAUGGGAUAUGUGGUCUGUGCUGGACACUCUGCAGAAUGACCUUACAGGGAAGGACUCAGGGAAAAGCCUGCCCAGCAGCAGUGGAGUCCUAGGGCUCGGAGCAGCAGCAAGGACCUGGCCCUGGCCCCUGUUCCUGGCUCCUGCAGGGGACCAAGAGCAACUCCCAGAGCAGGAAUUCACUUUAGCCCAGCCAUCUCAGGGGUGCCCUGAGCAGAGGCUGGCAGGAGUGGCUGAAGUCUGAGGCUCCCAACAGUGAGGGGGGGUUGGCUGAAUGAGAGAGCCAAGGAAUGCUGAGACAUUGUGGGAGCCUUGGAGCUCAGCUGCCUGAAGCAUGACCAGUGCAACGACAGCUUGCUGGGACUGCAACAAAUAUCAGUCUAGAGAAGGUGGCUGCUUUCUCUUCAGAGCUCCUGCGCUUUAAUGUCAACAUGGACUCCUUGUGGGUAUUGUAACUGGAAAAACAGCUGAGCCUCUUUUAGCUGCUGAAGAUGAAGAACAGACUGCAAUGCUUGGCCAAGGAAGGUAUAAACUCUCUGCAACAACAAAAUCCUGUUUGAACUCCUCCUGCGUUCUGGAUUGUUCCUGCAUCGGUAUUAAUUGGAGAAAUGUGCUAGAAAUGUUAAUAAGGGUGGUCACUGUGUUUUAUGGGGCUACAUUUACAGCUGUAGAUUGUUCAGCCAGUGCAUGCUGACCUGCUGCAGUUUGUUCUGAACAGCACCUAGAGCAGGGACUUUCACUGUGAUGUCCCUCGUGCUGACAGCACAUGGGACAAGAAAUACCCUGCUGUUCGAAUUGUUACAAUAAUUGAUGGAUUCAUAUGUUCUUGUGCCAUUUGUCAAUACUAUCCUGUUAAGUCCUUCUGGGAAUGAGAUCACAGAUUUUUCUAAGUAGCAGCUGCUGCAGUUUCCCGAAACCCCAGAUUUUCGGGCUGGGCCAAGGAAGGCAGGGCUGAGGAUACAAACAGAUGCAUGGUUGCAACAAUAUGAGCUAGCAAUACCUGAGCCUGCAGCCUUGAGAAGGUGUGGGCAGCCUUGGUGAUUCAGGGAAUGCUGAGGUGUUCAGUGAGCUCUGUGGUUCAGAAAGGAAACUCACUGCUCCUGCUCCCCUCCUGUAUCCCUUGCAGAUAAACCCUGCCUGGAGAGAGGCUGGAGACAGCCCAACAAGGUGUGUGUUUAUUCACCUUUAUCAGUGUUUGAUUACCCAAAAGCUCUGCAAAGAGAACCAUGAAUGUCACCCCUAGAAAAUCACUGUGACUGAGAAAAGAAGGAAUGAACAACGACUGAUGCAUUAAUUUACAUCUGUCAAGCAGGAGGAGGUGGCCCUUGCUGGACUACACUGGAGGAAUUUAUCACCUGCAGAGCCAACAGAGCUUUGUCUGUCCCAGUAGAACAGAGGAUGUACCAGGAACUUGGCAUCCAAGAGCUCUCAGCCUUUUCAGAAGGAAGGGAUAAGAUCAGUGCCCAGGAGCUGCCCAGCACCAACCCACACUGGAUCCACGAGGAUGUUUAGCUCAUGAGACAAGGCAGUUGCUCAAGCACCGAACAAUAACCUACAUGUGCAGGAUUUUAGAACAUGGAGACUUUUUUUGCCUCUGUUAGGAUGCCACACUGGCCUCUGUUAGGAUGCAGUGUGGUGGGGACAGGCUGCUGUGCAGGCGCUGGCAGGGCUGCAGGGACAGUGGUGGCACCGUGAGUGACAGCCCCACUCAUGUGAGUGGGGCUCUGACUGGAGGCACUUCUGAGGGAUUGUCCUUUUGGCUGGUGACUUCGCUCUCUCCCUCCCUGGAUUCCCUCAUGAUUUCAUUUAAACCCCAAUGGCCUUUCUGUGGCACAUGAUCUGUCACACUCUGUGUUCAGUCACAUCCUAUUUCUGCACAUUUUUCCUGCACUUGCUGUGACCUGUGAAGAGGGAUGAAUUACCAGCACACCAUUUCCUUAAGCUGAGCAAUUACUUUCAAUGAAUAUUACAUGGGUUAUGUGAAGCUGGAAAGUGGGAAUAAAGAGACUUGCUAUGGAAACAGGGUUUUUUUUCACUUUUCUUUUUUUUUUGAUGCUUUCAUCUCUUCUGCAGUGGGGAUUACUGUGCUAUUUAUUCUUUAUGGUGAAAAUAUGGCAGUUAUAUCUGCUAGAUUUUUCAAUUUUUUUCUUUAUAUUCCUUAAAAAAAGAGAAAUGUAAAUGAUAUUCCUAUACGAUGUUUUUAUUCUGAUGUCUCCUUUCUCCAGGCAGCAAAAAUUAAGAUGUUGCAUCAUGCCCAUCUCAUUCAUGCAUUUUUUCAGGUGAACUGUCUGUUCUUGUAAAUUCGUGUUCCAGAGUAUUUCCAGAAUGGGGGUUCUGUAGAACUUUGCAAAGCCCUGCUGCCUACUGUCUCCAGUGUGGUAUUUAGAGCAAGAAAACUUUUAAAGCCCAACAGAAGCUUGUGGAUUGACCUCUCUGUAUUUUAUUGAAGUGAUUGAUCUGUCUUAUAUUUUCAUUGACCUAUCUCUGUUUCUCUGUCAAUUAUUCACUUCUACAUGUUUCUGCUGUGCUGUAUAAAAUAUUCCCAGUACUGAGAAUCAGGAGUCCUUCAGCAAAGGAUGUGUGUAGAAGAGCCACCGGAGAAGCUCAGGGACCCACAGUUUAUCCUCUUGGUAUUAAACGAGUUAUAAAACAAGGAGAAAUGCAUCUGUGCACUGCUGACACUGAGCCAGCAGUUUCAGUCUGAGAGGAAGAGAGAGAAUAGUGAUAUUUGUAAUCCAGUGCUAAAUGCAAAUAAAGUCUGUGUCUCUUUCUUCGGGAGAUUGCUUCCCUGAGUCACCGGGGUUCAUUUACAUUCGGGUGACAUCUACAAGAAUUUUGCCAACACAGCUUAUUACUGCAAACAUUGUGUCAGUUCUGACAUUUCUCUUCGCUGGAGAAUCCCCAGAAUGGCUCUAUUUGUUACUGGUGGCAGACGUGGAGUCACACGGGGAGCGGUGCCAGCCUCAGCCGUGCCUGCAUCCCUCCGAGCCGCAUUCCCGGAGUUCUGCCUCCACAACCCUUCGUGGCCCGGGGGAAGCAGAAGCCUUUCCCAAAGCCAUUUUACUCUAGAAGCAGGGUGGGCACCUGGAGCUGGCUCCCGGAGCAGACAUGGGCAGCUACCAGGCUUUUUUCUGGAGCAGAGGCACAGCCACAUCACCACGAUGGGGUGGCAGAGCACCGAGCAGCUCCAACCCCAAAGAGUAAUUCAGAUUAAUCCAGCAG